rnacentral:rRNA from 1 species
AUUGAACGCUGGCGGCAUGCCUUACACAUGCAAGUCGAACGGUAACGGGCCUUCGGGUGCCGACGAGUGGCGAACGGGUGAGUAAUGCAUCGGAACGUACCUUUCAGUGGGGGAUAACGUAGCGAAAGUUACGCUAAUACCGCAUAUUCUGUGGGCAGGAAAGCAGGGGAUCGCAAGACCUUGCGCUGAUUGAGCGGCCGAUGUCAGAUUAGCUAGUUGGUGAGGUAAAGGCUCACCAAGGCGACGAUCUGUAGCGGGUCUGAGAGGAUGAUCCGCCACACUGGAACUGAGACACGGCCCAGACUCCUACGGGAGGCAGCAGUGGGGAAUUUUGGACAAUGGGGGCAACCCUGAUCCAGCCAUGCCGCGUGAGUGAAGAAGGCCUUCGGGUUGUAAAGCUCUUUCGGCCGGGAAGAAAUCGUAUGGGCUAAUACCCUGUGCGGAUGACGGUACCGGCAUAAGAAGCACCGGCUAACUACGUGCCAGCAGCCGCAGUAAGAC